AUACCCUGGUAGUCCAUGCCGUAAACGAUGUCUACUUGGAGGUUGUGCCCUUGAGGCGUGGCUUCCGGAGCUAACGCGUUAAGUAGACCGCCUGGGGAGUACGGCCGCAAGGUUAAAACUCAAAUGAAUUGACGGGGGCCCGCACAAGCGGUGGAGCAUGUGGUUUAAUUCGAUGCAACGCGAAGAACCUUACCUGGUCUUGACAUCCACAGAACUUUCCAGAGAUGGAUUGGUGCCUUCGGGAACUGUGAGACAGGUGCUGCAUGGCUGUCGUCAGCUCGUGUUGUGAAAUGUUGGGUUAAGUCCCGCAACGAGCGCAACCCUUAUCCUUUGUUGCCAGCGAUUAGGUCGGGAACUCAAAGGAGACUGCCAGUGAUAAACUGGAGGAAGGUGGGGAUGACGUCAAGUCAUCAUGGCCCUUACGACCAGGGCUACACACGUGCUACAAUGGCGCAUACAAAGAGAAGCGACCUCGCGAGAGCAAGCGGACCUCAUAAAGUGCGUCGUAGUCCGGAUUGGAGUCUGCAACUCGACUCCAUGAAGUCGGAAUCGCUAGUAAUCGUGGAUCAGAAUGCCACGGUGAAUACGUUCCCGGGCCUUGUACACACCGCCCGUCACACCAUGGGAGUGGGUUGCAAAAGAAGUAGGUAGCUUAACCUUCGGGAGGGCGCUUACCACUUUGUGAUUCAUGACUGGGGUGAAGUCGUAACAAGGUAACCGUAGGGGAACCUGC
rnacentral:rRNA from 1 species